AGCUGUGUGAUGACGUCACCACCCCUGCUAAACAGGAAAUAUUUUUAGCUCUGUUGCUAGCCGGCUAACGAGCGGAAAGAAAAACGGGGGGAGAAAAGGAUGAAAAGAGGGAAAGAGGGAAAGUGGGAAGGGGGGGGGGGCUUUGAGUCAGAAUGAAACGACCCACACGUGAGAAGAUGGUCGACGCCAGCCGCGAUUGGCGCGGACGGCGGCGCGAUGGACAUCGAUCGCAAGAUCUUCGACGCCUGCUGGGUUUGACCGGGAGAGGACGACGUCGUCGACGGUCACGUGAAGCCUGUCAAAGGUCGUGCGAGUGCAAGACAAGCGUGGCUGGCGUUUCCUGACAUCCUAUAAUAGUCAGGCGGGUACACAAAUUGUACUGUUUGUGCUUUUCGGUGACAUUAACGUGCCAAAUUAUAUAAAUUUAAAAAAAAAAAUCUAAAAA